UCCCGUGUGGCUCAGUUGGUAGAGCAUGGUGUUUGCAUGGUGUUUGCAACGCCAGGGUUGUGGGUUCAAUUCCCACGAGGGAC
rnacentral:tRNA from 1 species